UUUCACAGAAAAGCACCGAGACAGGAAUUACGUCAGCAUUAAACCCACUCUUUUUCCCAGAGGAAUUUACCCUUUCCCGAAAGCCAAAUUGUGCUGCGCAGACUCAAAUUUGGGAUUCCUCUCCGGGUCCUUUCGUGGUCGCCAAAAUGAUUCCGGCAGGCCGGGCCCCAGGACCCAGAGGGGGGUCCCACAGUAACAGCUCAGAGGGUCCUUGGCUUCGCACAGGAUGGAAAUCAAACAUGUGUCAGCAGGAGGAGAAAGCAGCGUUUAUUGGAGAGAGAGAGUGCAGAUAGCAGAUGGAAGAGAGAGAGAACGAGAGCACAAGCACGGGGAGCAGCAGGCAGAGGGAGAAGGAGAAGCAGGGGAUGACCAUCCGUCCUCUUGUUGACUUAUUAAAUAUGACAAGAAGAGAGACCUCUCCAACUGUGAGUGAACAAAUUCUCAUUUGGGUGAACUGUGGAGACUCCAGGCCCUGAGGUCAACCCAGUCCAUUCCAAAGAAUGUCUUUGAGCUGAGAUAUCAAUCUUCUCCUGCCUUCAGACUCUGACUUGAACUGGAACUUGCACCUUCAACUCUCCUGGUUCUCAGUCCUUUAGACUCAGACUAGAAGUAUACCAUCAAUCUUCCUGGGUCGCCAUCUGCAGAUCUUGGGAAUUCUCAGCUGCCAUAAUGGCAUAAGCCAAUUCCUUAAAAUAAGUCAAUCAUAUACAUAUACAUAUAAGCAUACAUAUAUAGGCAUCCCUCACUUUACUGUGCUUUGCAGAUACUGUGAUUUUUAAAAAUUGUUUGUGGCACCACUGCAUUGAGUAAGACUACCAGUGCCGUUUUUCCAAUGGCAUUUUCUCACUUGUGUCUCUGUCACAUUUGGUAAUCUUCAUUAUAUUUCAAAUAUUUGCAUUAUUAUUAUAUUUUUAUUGUGAUCUAUGAUCAGUUAUCUCUGAUGUUACCAUUGUAAUUGUUUUGUGGGGUCAUGAACCAUGCCCAUAUAACAUGACAAACUUAAUAAAUACUGUGUGUGUUCUGACUACUCCACCAACUGGUCAUUCCUCCAUCUCUCUCCCCCUUCUUGGGCCUCCUUAUUCCCUGAGACACAACAGUACUAAAAUUAGGCCCAUUAGUAAUCCUAUAAUAGCCUCUUAGUGUUCAAGUGAAAGGAAGAGUCAAACAUCUUUCACUUUAAAUCAAAAGCUAGAAAUGAUUAAGCUUAGUGAGGAAGGCAGGUCAAAAGCUGAAAUAAGUCAAAAAGUAGACAUCUUGCACCAAACUGUUAGUAAAGUUGUAUAUGCAAAGGAAAAGCUUUUGAAGGAAAUUAAAAGUGCCACUCCAGUGAACACAAAAAUGAUAAAGUGAAACAGGCUAUUGUUAAUAUAGACAAAGUUUUAGUGCUCGUGAUAGAAGAUCAAACCACCUACAACAUUCCCUUAAACCAAAGCCUAAUCUAGAGCAAGGCCCUAACUCUCACUUCUAUGAAAGCUGAAAGAGGUGUGGAAGCUGCAGAAUAAAAGGUUUGAAUCUAAGAGAGGUUAGUUCAUGAAGUUUAAGAUAAGAAGCCAUCUCCAUAACAAAGAAGUACAAGGUGAAGCAGGAAGUGCUGAUGUAUAAGCUGAAGCAAGUUUUGCAGAAGAUCUAGGUAACAUAAUGAAUGAAGGUGGCUACACUAAGUAACAGAUUUUCAAUGUAAAUGAAACAAUCUUCUAUUGGAAAAAGAUUCCAUCUAAGACUUUUGUAGCUGGAAAGGAGAAGUCAAUGUCUAGCUUCCAAGCUUCAAAGGACAGACUGACUUGUUAGAGGUUAUUGUAGCUGGUGACUUUAAGUUGAAGUCAAUGCUCUUUUAUCAUUCCAAAGGUUCUAGGGACUUUAGGAAUUAUGCUAAAUCUACUAUU